GACGAACGCUGGCGGCGUGCUUAACACAUGCAAGUCGAACGGGCCUUGUCCCCUUUUUUUUGGGGGUGGGGUUAGUGGCGAACGGGUGAGUAACACGUGAGUAACCUGCCCCUCACUUCUGGAUAACCGCUUGAAAGGGUGGCUAAUACGGGGUGUUCUGGCCUGCUCGCAUGGGUGGGUUUGGAAAGAUUCGACCGGUUUUGGUUGUUUUGGUGGGGGAUGGGCUCGCGGCCUAUCAGCUUGUUGGUGGGGUGAUGGCCUGCCAAGGCUUUGACGGGUAGCCGGCCUGAGAGGGUGGGCGGUCACACUGGGACUGAGACACGGCCCAGACUCCUACGGGAGGCAGCAGUGGGGAAUAUUGCACAAUGGGCGCAAGCCUGAUGCAGCGACGCCGCGUGAGGGAUGGAGGCCUUCGGGUUGUGAACCUCUUUCGCCAGUGAAGAAGGCCCUGCUCUUUGUGGUGGGGUUGACGGUAGCUGGGUUAAUGAAGCGCCGGCUAACUACGUG
rnacentral:rRNA from 1 species